rnacentral:rRNA from 1 species
CGCAUCUGUGCAUGCAGCAUAUCAAUAAGCGGAGGAAAAGAAACUAACAAGGAUUCCCCUAGUAACGGCGAGUGAAGCGGGAAGAGCUCAAAUUUGAAAUCUUAAAGGGUUUCCCUUUACGAAUUGUAGUUUAAAGAAGUGUUUUCUGUUGAGGUUUUGGUAAAAGGUUCUUUGGAAUAGGACAUCAUAGAGGGUGAGAAUCCCGUAUUUGACCUUUACUUUCAACUUUGUGAUACACUUUCAAAGAGUCGGAUUGUUUGGGAAUGCAGUCCCAAAAUGGGUGGUAAAUUUCAUCUAAAGCUAAAUAUUGGCGAGAGACCGAUAGCGAACAAGUACCGUGAGGGAAAGAUGAAAAGAACUUUGAAAAGAGAGUUAAACAGUACGUGAAAUUGUCAAAAGGGAAGCGUUUGACACCAGUGUUGUUUUUCUGAAAAUCAAUUAAAGAACUGUUUAUGCUAAGUUGUUUAGACUUUAUCAGCUAUCUGUUUAGUUUUGAGCUUUUCUUUAAUGCACUUUUCAGUUAACAAGUCAACAUCAAUUUCUUUUGCUGUAAAAAAGCUUGAGGAAGGUGGCUUGAGAUUCGUCUUAAGUGUUUAUAGCCUCUUGCCUAUGCAGUCGGAGAGAUUGAGGUCUGCAGCGUAGAUCCUUCGGGGCUAAAUGCAUUUGUGCUAAGUUAUAGCAUUUUAUAGACAACUUGUUGACUAUGAUUUGUCUUGUAGCUUACUCGCUUAUGUUAUUUUACCUACGCUUAGGAUGUUGACAGCAGUAUAGACUGU